UGGGUAACUUCACUUUCUGCCUUGUCCUGUGAUUGCCUGAUUGUUUCCACCUGUGUCCAAUCACCUGCACCUCCCUAGUGUAUUUAAGCCCUGUGUGCCUGUUGUCCCUUGUCGCGUCAUUGUCUAUGUCAGUCAUCGUUGGUGCACGUCCUUCCUCGGUUUUGCAUUCAAUAAAGAGCAGCUGUUUGCGAAGCCUGCGUUUGAGUCCUGCCUCCUUCAGCCUGCACCAGCACCGCUUCCUGACACUUGAUCCUGUUCAAGGCCAGGUCCGUGUCUACACACUGCUUCCUCAUGUCGUGUCCUGGAACGGUGUGCGCGGGCCGAACCGACCUUCUUGCUAUUAGGACAGUAACACGACCUAUAUCGGCCAUCUAAGUUAUUGUUUUAUUCUACCAAAUGGCUUUUUUAAGUGGAAAACUGUUAAACUUUUUCUA